AACGAACGCUGGCGGCGCGCCUAAUACAUGCAAGUCGAGCGAGAAGACGUAGCAAUACGUUUGUAAAGCGGCGAACGGGCGAGGAAUACAUGGGUAACCUACCCUCGAGUGGGGAAUAACUAGCCGAAAGGUUAGCUAAUACCGCGUACGCUCCUUGGACUUCGGUUCAGGGAGGAAAGCGAUACCGUGGGUAUCGCGCUCUUGGAUGGGCUCAUGUCCUAUCAGCUUGUUGGUGAGGAACGGCUCACCAAGGCUUCGACGGGUAGCUGGUCUGAGAGGACGAUCAGCCACACUGGCACUGCGACACGGGCCAGACUCCUACGGGAGGCAGCAGUAAGGAAUAUUGCGCAAUGGGCGAAAGCCUGACGCAGCGACGCCGCGUGGGGGAUGAAGGUCUUCGGAUUGUAAACCCCUUUCGGGAGGGAAGAUGGAACGAGCAAUCGUUCGGACGGUACCUCCAGAAGCAGCCACGGCUAACUUCGUGCCAGCCGCCGCAGU
rnacentral:rRNA from 1 species